AGUGAACGCUGGCGGUAGGCCUAACACAUGCAAGUCGAACGGCAGCACAGUAAGAGCUUGCUCUUACGGGUGGCGAGUGGCGGACGGGUGAGGAAUACAUCGGAAUCUACCUUUUCGUGGGGGAUAACGUAGGGAAACUUACGCUAAUACCGCAUACGACCUACGGGUGAAAGCAGGGGAUCUUCGUACCUUGCGCGAUUGAAUGAGCCGAUGUCGGAUUAGCUAGUUGGCGGGGUAAAGGCCCACCAAGGCGACGAUCCGUAGCUGGUCUGAGAGGAUGAUCAGCCACACUGGAACUGAGACACGGUCCAGACUCCUACGUGAGGCAGCAGUGUGGAAUAUUGGACAAUGGGCGCAAGCCUGAUCCAGCCAUACCGCGUGGGUGAAGAAGGCCUUCGGGUUGUAAAGCCCUUUUGUUGGGAAAGAAAAGCAGCAGGUUAAUACCCCGCUGUUCUGACGUUACCCAAAGAAUAAGCACCGGCUAACUUCGUG
rnacentral:rRNA from 1 species